AAAAAAAUUAAAUAUCAUCGGAUAGUUUUGCAUUUUCUUACUUCAAUAUCUAGUAAUUUUUUUUUUUUUUUUUUUCUAUCAGCAUCUCUGUUAAUUCUUUAUAUACGAAAAAUUUUAGAUAUCCCACCUAUAAUUUAUCGGAUAUUUAUCAAAUUUUUAUUCUAGUACCAUGUGAUUUUAACUUUAUUAUUUAUUUAAUGAAAAAAAUUAACGGAAGGGGGGAAUAGAAAGAGAAAAAUGAAACCAUAGAGUAUUCAAAUAAUAUAUAUCAUUUUAAAACGACAGAAUAAUAAAGUAAGAAAACGCAAAACCGUAGGAAUGAUAUUUGAAGUUUUCUUUCAAAAAUUAUAUAGGAGUAACGUGUUCAAGUCUCAACAAUGAGAAAGUCUAUUAUGUGGGCGACGGUCACAACAUAUUAUUUAUAUUUAAAUAAGAAAAAACUUCAAAAAUUCCUCCUGUGGUUUUGUAGUUUCUCACUUUGGCUCCCUUGUGGUUUAAAAUGUAUCAAAUUGUACCCCUGUGGUUUCGUUUUUAUCUUUUCGGUAGUUUUUUUUGGUAAUAUUUCAUUAAAUUAUAUACAAAAAACUUCAGAUACCCAUCUAGAUUUAUCAAAUAUUCACUUUAGUACCCUUUAAUUUUAACUUUAUCACUGAUUUAAGAAAAAAAUAAUGAAAUUGAUAAAAAAAAGAGAAAAAAGAAACAUGGGGGCAAAUUGAUACAUUUUAAACCACAUGGGGGCAAAGUGAAAAACUACGAAACCACAGGAUAAGUUUUUGAAGUUUUCCUUUUAAAUAAUUAUAUAUUUUUAAAAAGUAGAAUUAUAAAUUUUUAAAUUUUAAAUGAAUAAUUUGAUUG
rnacentral:lncRNA from 1 species